UGAAUUUCCAGUUUCUCCAGAGAAACCAGAAAUGUGGGUUUCACAAAAAGAUGUGGCAGCUGGUUUUUCAGUAUUGGCCGUGAGCUCUCUUAACUCCAUUAGUUUGUUCCUUUGUCCUUUCUGACUACUUAGGUCCAACUCAAGCAUACGGAGCCCAGCUCUGGCCCUCGCGCCAACGCUUUGCAACCUCGAGUCAAGAGCUUGACGGGGACGGCAUCCCCCACUUUGUGUGACCAGAAGAGCUAUGAGCAGGGGGUGGGGGACCUCAGAUCUACUCGUGGUUCCACCACUUGUUAGCUGUGGGCAUCUGCUUCAAAAAAAAAAAAGCCAAAAAGCCUCUCCGAGCCUCAGUCUCCUCAUCUGUAAAAUGGGUACCAUCUCGUGCAGCGGGCUCACCCCCUGGGGUGGUUGUGAAGGCUGAGCGACAUAAUUUAUUCAGCAAACACCACGUGCAAGCAAAGUCUUGAGCUUGUGAUGUGGCUACCAGAGAACUUAAAAUCACACCUGGGACUUACACCACAAUUCUAUUUGUAGAUAGCGAUCGGGUGGGAAUUUGAAAGGAGGACAUGGGAGUCGCUCUGAACUGAGCCUCAAUAAAAGAAAUUGUUUAUGCACAAAUUGAAACAGAUACGAAGAGCAUAGUACUCCCCAUGCGCUCGUCCCGGUUCGAAGUCCUCAGCUCGCACAGCCUAUCUUUCUGCAUCGAUGUGUCUCCCACGCCCGAUUCCGUACCACUUUGACGCCGACCCCAUCAUCUUCUCAUUUCACCUUAAGGUUUUGGCGUGUAGCUCUAAAAACGGACUCUUGGAAAACAGAGCCACGAGCAAUGCCGCUCCUAGGUAUGGACCCAAGAGAACUGAAGACAUGUCCACACGGAACCUUGUGCAGGAACGUGCACAGCAGCAUCCUUCCUAACAGCCCGAAAGUAAACACGGCCCAAACGUCACCAAGUGAUGAAAAGAUCAACUAGAUGUGCCACAUCCAUGCAAUGAGCGUUAUUCUGCAGUAGACAGGAACAAAGUACCAAUCCAGCCUACCACAUGGAUGGACUUGGAAACACCACACUCAGCGAAAGAAGUCAAAUGCAAAAAGCCACAUGCUGUGUGAUUCCAUUCAUAUGAAAUGUCCAGAAUAGGCAAAUCCAUAGAGACAGAAAGUAGAUGAGUAGUUG
rnacentral:lncRNA from 1 species